rnacentral:tRNA from 1 species
UGGGGUGUAGCUCAGUGGUAAAGCAUGUUUGGCAUAUGGAAGGCCCUGGGUUCAAUCCCAGCAGCAAAG